GUAACAAGGUCUCCGUUGGUGAACCAGCGGAGGGAUCAUUACAGAGUUGCAAAACUCCCUAAACCAUUGUGAACGUUACCUAUACCGUUGCUUCGGCGGGCGGCCCCGGGGUUUACCCCCCGGGCGCCCCUGGGCCCCACCGCGGGCGCCCGCCGGAGGUCACCAAACUCUUGAUAAUUUAUGGCCUCUCUGAGUCUUCUGUACUGAAUAAGUCAAAACUUUCAACAACGGAUCUCUUGGUUCUGGCAUCGAUGAAGAACGCAGCGAAAUGCGAUAAGUAAUGUGAAUUGCAGAAUUCAGUGAAUCAUCGAAUCUUUGAACGCACAUUGCGCCCGCCAGCAUUCUGGCGGGCAUGCCUGUUCGAGCGUCAUUUCAACCAUCAAGCCCCCGGGCUUGUGUUGGGGACCUGCGGCUGCCGCAGGCCCUGAAAAGCAGUGGCGGGCUCGCUGUCGCACCGAGCGUAGUAGCAUACAUCUCGCUCUGGUCGCGCCGCGGGUUCCGGCCGUUAAACCACCUUUUAACCCAAGGUUGACCUCGGAUCAGGUAGGAAGACCCGCUGAACUUAAGCAUAUC
rnacentral:rRNA from 1 species